AAAUAUUCUGUAUACAGCUGUAGAUUUGGUGUGUCCCUGGCAGGAGGUGUGCUCAGGAUCCUUUUAUGUCACCGUCUUAAACUGGACCCUGUCUCUUUUUGCACAUGUGCUCCUUGGUGCAGAAGGCCCUGUUUGAGGAGGAGGACCACAUCCAGAAGCUGCAGCAGAAGGUGGCCACCCUGGAGAAGGGGAACAAGCAGGUGUGAGAUCCAGUGAAGAAGGUCAAGGAGGUCCCAAGUGCACAAGAACGGCUGCCGCCUGGAGCUGCUAAACUGAAAGAGAAGCUGCCAGAUACAUCAAAAAUACAUCUAGAUGUGGAACAAUUCUCACGGAACACCUACUGCGCGCUGGCAGGUAAAAGGACCAACGUUGUAGGACACAGCCCCAUGUACGCAGCUCCUGAGGAGGAAUACUCAAGUUUUGCUCUUCUCCCAGAAGUGCUCCAGUCCCACCUACCUCACACCAGAAAUGGCUCAGAAAUGGCUUCUCCUCCAAUAACUGGGGAACAAACAGACUCUGACAACCACAGAGCAAAGAGGCCCUGCACAACAUCCAGAGCAGGCUCUGGUUACCACAACACCAGUCACACACUAUCAAGGGGAUAACAGCCAGCACAGACUGAGGAAAGAUGUGGGAUGCAUCCAUACUAAAAACAGGCAUCACACCAAAAAUAUUAGACUCGUGUAGGCUAUACAGGGAUGCUCCCAUAUAUAAACAUCCCUCCAAGACCACAAAAUAGCUCUUUGUCCUAAACUCAUAGAGUCAGAGAAAUAGAAGUAAAAAGCAGAAGAACCACUCCCAAUGAAAAGAUCAAGAGAAAACCCCUGAAAGAACAAACAGUGAAAAAGACCUCUCCAGUCUACAAGACCCUGAGUUCAGAAAGGCGGUAAUAAAAGUACUAAAUGGAUUAGGAAAGACUGUUGAUAGAAAUACAGGUUAUUGAAAAAAGGAACCAGAAACUGUAAGGAGGAGCCAACUAGAAAACUCAUUUGCUGAAAUAGAAGCUGAGCUAAGUGCAAUGCAUAGCAAACUGAAUAAUGCAGAAGCACAAAUAAGUGAUCUGGAAUUUUGAAUAAUGAAAAUCACCCAAUCGGAACAGUAGAAAAACAAAACAAAACAAAAAAAGAGCAAUAUACCAGACCUAUGGAAUAAUAUAGAAUGUACCAAUCUAUGCAUAAUCGGGAUCCCAGAGGAGAGGAAAGAAAAAAAGAGGAUUGAAAAUAUAUUUGAAGAAAUUAGGGCUUAAAAUUUCCCAACCUAAUAAAGGAAACAUACCCAGGUACAGGAACCAUAGAGAUUCCUAAGCACUAUGAACUCAGACAGACAUAACUAAAAUAGCAGCAGUUACAGGCAACAAGAGAAAAAGUUAAUUUCAAGGGAACCCCUCUAAGGCUAUAAGCUGAUUUCUCUACAGGAACAUUGCAGGCCAGAAAGGACAUGCAAGGUAUGUUCAAAGUUCUGAAAGGGAAAAACCUGCUACUGAAGAUACCCUACCUAGCAAGAGAAUCAUUUAGAAUAGAAGGAGAGAGAAAGAAUUUCUCAUGAAAGAACAAAACCAAUACAGCAAUACCAAACCUAUCCCAAAGGAAAUAUUGCAAGUUCUCUAAAUAGAAAACAAGCUAGACAAUAGAGGAAGGAGAAACUCACAGUUGGGAAGUAAACCACUUAAAUAAGCCAGAGGUAAAAAAAUUGUGUGUGUGAAAGUGAUAACUACAAUGAACAAAAAAAUUAAAAUGGGGAGGGGAGUAAGAGAAUGUAGAUUUUUUUUUUAGAAUGUACUUGAGCCUGUAUAACUACCAGUCUAAAGCAAGUAGAUAUAAAAUGGGUUAAUAUACUUGAAAAACAUGGUAACCACACAUCAAAAACAUGCAAUAGAUUCAUGAAAACUAAGAGAAUAUAAGUAUAAUAUGAAAGAAAACCAUCAAACCACAAAAGGAAACAGAACUAAGGAGAAAUACAAAAUCAACUGGAAAACAAGGUUUACAAUGGCAGUGAUUACAUAUAUCAAUAAUCAUGAUAGAUGUCCAUACACUAAAUGCUCCAAUCAAAAGACACCCAGUGCCAGACUGGAUAAUAAAACACAAGCCCACAAGAUGCUGCCUACAAGAGAACCACUUUAGGGCAAAGGACAUACAUAGACUGAAAGUGAAGGAGAUAGAAAAAGAUUUCAUGCAAACAAAUGAUGAAGCGGGGGAUGCAAAAUAGACUUUUAAACAAAGGCCCAUGGAAUAUGUAUGCUGUGGUACACGGAAAAACUGGCCAACAGGAGCUUGUUCUACCAGCACAGGGAGCUCUAUCCAAUAUUCUGUGAUGAUCUACAUAAGAAAGAGUGAAAAAGAAUGGGUGUGUGUAUAUGAAUAAAUUAAUCAUUUUGUUGUGCAGCAGAAAUUAUAACAUUGUAAAUCAUGAAGAAAGAUAAAGGACACUAUAUAAUAAAGUGAACAAUACAAGACAAGGAUAUUACAUGCAUUUAUAUAUGUACCCAAUAUAAGAGCACCUAAAUAUAUAAAAUUAACAAAAGGAAUGAAUUGAUGGCAAUACAAUAAUAAGCUUUAAAACCCCACUCACGUCAAUGGACAGAUCUUCUAGAGAGAAAAUCAGUAAGACAACAAAGAUCCUAAAUGAUACAUUAGAUGAGUUACCUAAUUGAUAGUUUCAGGACAUUGUAUCAGAAAAAAUUAACUGGAAUACACAUUCUUUUCAAGCGCACAUGAAACAUUCUCUAGGACUGACCACAUACUAAGACACAAAACUGACCUCAGCAAGUUUAAGAGGAAAGAAAUUACUUCAGGCAUCUUUUCUGACCACAACAGUAUGGAAUUAUAAAUUAACCACAAGAAAAGAGAAAAAAAUUGCAUGGAGAUUUAAACAAUAUGCUACUGAAAGUAAAUAGGUCAAUGACGAAAUCAAACAGUAAAUUUUAAAAAUGCCUUGGGACAAGUAAAUGAAAAUAUAACCAUACAAACUCUGUGGGAUGCAGAAAAAGCAGUCCUUAGAGGGAAGUUCCUAGUGAUACAGGCCUUCUUUAAAAAGUAAAAAUCACAAACAACCUAACUCACUAUCUAAUAGAAUUAGGAAAAGAAAAACAACACCUGAAGUCAGCAGAAGGAAGGAAAGCAUGAAGAUGAGAGAGGAAAUAAAGAUUUUUAAAACUUGGGAAAAAAGCAAUAAAACCAAAAGCUUAUGGGCGUUCCUGUUGUGGUGCAGUGGAAAUGAAUCUGACUAGUAUUCUUGAGGAUAUGGGUUCAAUUCCUCCCUCACUCAGUGGGUCAGGGAUCUGGUAUUGCCUUGAGCUACAGGGCAUGGAUUAUAUGUUGCUGUGGCUGUGGUGUAGGCCAGGAGCAAUCCAAACCCUAGCCUGGGAACUUCCAUAUGCUGUGGGUGUGGCCCUAAAAAGAAAAAGGAAAAAAAAAUUAGUUAAUCUGAACAAAUCUACCACUAGAAGUGAAAUAGAAUCUAAUUUUAAACUCCCUGCAAACAAAAGUCCAGGACCAGAAAGCUUCUUUGGGGAAUUCUACCGUGUAUACAAAGAACUUCUUCUAUUGAUCCUUUUCAAACUCUUCCAAAAACUGAAGAAAAAGGAACACUCCCAAAGUCAUUUUAUGAAGCCACAAUCACCCUGAUACCAAAACCAAAGACACUGCCAAAAAAGAAAAUUAUAGGCUAAUAUCUGAUGAAUAUAGAUACAAGAAAAUCUCAACAAAAUAUUAGCCAACUGCAUCCACCAACAUAUACAAAAGGUUAUACGAAGACUAAGUUGGAUUCAUCCCAGGGUCACAAAGAUAGUUCAACAAAUGCAAAUCAAUCAGUAUGCUACACCGCAUCAACAAAUGAAAAGACAAAAAAACAAAUAAUCAUCUCAAUAGAUGCAGAAAAAGCCUAUGAUAAAAUUCAACAUCCAUUCAUGAUAAAACCUCUUACCAAAGUGGACAUAGAACAUUUCAACAUAAUAAAAACUAUUUAUGGAGCUCCUGUCAUGGCUCUCAGAAAAAUACCAAAAAGGGAAAGUACAAAAUAGUAUCUUUAAAAUUUGCAUUAGGAGUUCCCAUCGUGGCUCAGUGGUUAACGAAUCCGACUAGGAACCAUGAGGUUGCAGGUUCGAUCCCUGGCCUUGCUUAGUGGGUUAAGGAUCCGGUGUUGCCAUGAGCUGUGGUGUAGAUUGCAGAUGCGGCUCAGAUCUGGCAUUGCUGUGGCUCUGGCGUAGGCCAGCGGCUCCAGCUCCAAUUCAACCCCUAGCCUGGGAACCUCCAUAUGCCACGGGAACGGCCCAAGAAAAUGGCAAAAAA
ensembl:lncRNA